GAAAGCCAAUGAGAAGUUCAAGGGACAAGAGUCUGGUGAGACCCACACUGCAGUUAACCGAUGGAAAAUGGUGCCAAACCUGUCUAAACUCAGUUCUCCGGUAGCCGACUCUGCCCCGGGGCUUCCUUCUCCUUCUGGAACAAGCCGCUUGCAGCUUGCAGCUCAUAGCGAGGGCGCACAGUUCUGCCAGCCUCCUCGGGCCAGAUGCUCGCUCGCAUCUCUCUCCACCCGCCUCCUACCUCGGGCUCCGGAAUCUAUAGUCUCUCCAAAAGCCAUCUGGAAACGGGCUCGGAGUGGCGAACCCCGAGGAGCCCAGCAGCUUACAACAGGUGUGAGCUAGCGAGUGCUGGUUUUUGUUUUGUUUUUUCUGGAAGUUUCAGACGUUUCAUUAGGAACGUUCGCUCUGCACAAAACGGCGUAGAGGCAACGCUCUCUAAUCCUCAUAUGCGCCGUGGCUCCCACUCUUUGCCACGAAAAUGAGCGGGAUUUUUUUUUUUUUUUUUU